UACGUAGGGUGCAAGCGUUGUCCGGAAUUAUUGGGCGUAAAGAGCUCGUAGGCGGUUUGUCGCGUCUGCUGUGAAAACUCGGGGCUUAACCCCGGGCCUGCAGUGGGUACGGGCAGACUAGAGUGCGGUAGGGGAGACUGGAAUUCCUGGUGUAGCGGUGAAAUGCGCUGAUAUCAGGAGGAACACCGGUGGCGAAGGCGGGUCUCUGGGCCGUAACUGACGCUGAGGAGCGAAAGCGUGGGGAGCGAACAGG
rnacentral:rRNA from 1 species